ACCGCCGGGUAUCCACGUCUGGUAAGGAUAAGUGCUGAAAGCAUCUAAGCACGAAGCCGGCCUCAAGAUAAGAUUUCCAUAAAUAGGGUGGUUAAAGACUAUGACCUUGAUAGGCUGCAGGUGUAUGGUUGGUAACAAUUAAGCCGAGCAGUACUAAUAGCCCGAAACUUUUGUGCAU
rnacentral:rRNA from 1 species